rnacentral:rRNA from 1 species
ACGGGAGGCAGCAGUGGGGAAUAUUGGGCAAUGGGCGAAAGCCUGACCCAGCAACGCCGCGUGAAGGAAGAAGGCCUUCGGGUUGUAAACUUCUUUUGUCAGGGACGAAGGACGUGACGGUACCUGACGAAUAAGCAACGGCUAACUACGUGCCAGCAGCCGCGGUAAUACGUAGGUUGCAAGCGUUGUCCGGAUUUACUGGGUGUAAAGGGCGUGUAGGCGGAUCUGCAAGUCAGAUGUGAAAUCCCGGGGCUCAACCCCGGAACUGCAUUUGAAACUGUAGACCUUGAGUAUCGGAGAGGCAAGCGGAAUUCCUAGUGUAGCGGUGAAAUGCGUAGAUAUUAGGAGGAAUACCAGUGGCGAAGGCGUCUUUCUGGACUGUUACUGACACUGAGGCACGAAAGCGUGGGGAGCAAACAGGAUUAGAUACCCUGGUA